ensembl:lncRNA
CUGAGGUGCUGCAGUUGCCACUGCUUGUCCAGGACUAAUUUCAAUACAAGGUCAAGGGUGAUAAAGGCUACAGUGCAGUACUGCUGCAUCUUUACAGAUCCUUCAGAGAUCACCAGGAAACUGCAUCUACCUACAUUACUGCAGAAGGUGAGAGAGGUCUCUGUGACAAAUCAACAAGGAAGAUAUUUGCUGUGUAACUGUGAGUCACAGAAGGAUUGUAUUAGACCAUCCACCCCAAAACGGCACUUUUGUUUCUCUGACUCAUACUUCAACAUCCCCUACUGACCCCAUUCUUAAA